AGUGAACGCUGGCGGUAGGCCUAACACAUGCAAGUCGAACGGCAGCACAGUAAGAGCUUGCUCUUACGGGUGGCGAGUGGCGGACGGGUGAGGAAUACAUCGGAAUCUACUUUUUCGUGGGGGAUAACGAAGGGAAACUUACGCUAAUACCGCAUACGACCUACGGGUGAAAGCAGGGGAUUUUCGGACCUUGCGCGUUUGAUUGAGCCGAUGUCGGAUUAGCUAGUUGGCGGGGUAAAGGCCCACCAAGGCGACGAUCCGUAGCUGGUCUGAGAGGAUGAUCAGCCACACUGGAACUGAGACACGGUCCAGACUCCUACGGGAGGCAGCAGUGGGGAAUAUUGGACAAUGGGCGCAAGCCUGAUCCAGCCAUACCGCGUGGGUGAAGAAGGCCUUCGGGUUGUAAAGCCCUUUUGUUGGGAAAGAAAAGCAGCAGGUUAAUACCCCGCUGUUCUGACGGUACCCAAAGAAUAAGCACCGGCUAACUUCGUG
rnacentral:rRNA from 1 species